GCAGUGGAAAUGACUGGAAAAUGUUUCAUGUAUUUUUCCAGAAAAAUCUGAUUGAUAGAAUAACUUUCUUCAGGAAUGUGCCGGUUUUGUGUAAGCUUCCUCAGAGGAAGGGGGGAACUGCAGAGCAUGAGAGACCCACUUCAGGAUGUUUGCCUGGAAACCUCGAAUUCCUGCUUUGCCUUAUUCAAACUAGGGACUUUCAGCUUUGCUCCAAGAGGGAUGUUGGGAGGAUGUCAGUUCUGUAUGCAGUGAUCACAUGGAAAGUAAAUAUUUGAAAAAGAGGAUUAAACUGCUGGAAGAAGAAAACUUUGGAACAAAGGGUUGUUGGCUACCAAGCCACCUUGUUACAAGCGAGAACAUACAGGAAGACUGUUUGCUCUGUGCCUGCUUUUCCUGCGGGGGAAUGUGUCUGCGUUUCUCAGGCUCGAAUGCUGCCUUGCUGCACGGCGAUUCUCACUUUCCUUUUUCCACAUGGCUGCUUGGUUUGCAGAGGAUGCCUCCUUACAGAUGUGUUCCUUCCCCUGACAAACAAUUACCCCUGUUCCCCUCCACGGGAGGCCAUUAGGACAUCAUCACGGGUUCUGCUAAGUCAUCUCACAAUCACAGUUCUGUGCAAUCACCUCUCAUCUGAGUCUAUCUAGGCAUAUGCCAUGCGGGGAAACUAGCAGUCACAAAACACAGCACCUCCAGGCAUAUUAUUUGUUAUUUUGGUCCAGGAGUGUGACAGAUAAUGGCUAGUGUCUGAGGGUCUCAUUGGCUGCGAUGACUGGCAUCAUAUGCAGAAAAUGCGGAAAAGCCAGAAUGGGUGAUCACGUCCCUACUUAAUAACAACAAAAGGAACAAUUUUGUAUUUUCACUGCAGUUAAAAGCACUAAAGGAGGAGACUGAAAAGGUAAUGUUUGGAGAAUUAUUCUACUGAAUAGACUCACAAAGCUAAAUUUACAUCACAUCUGUUCUUUAUUACUUAUUGUUUAUGAGCUGUGUGUACAAAGAGCAAAUGUGUCAACAAUUUGCUUCAUAUUUAGCCUAGUUAUCAUAAUGGAGCUAAGCAUUUAACAAGAUUUUACUAACAAAAUACCAUAAGACUAGGCAUUUGUAAGCUUGAAAUGUGACAAUUAUUAGAAGAUACUUACUCCUUAAAAUCCCGAUUUACCAGGUGGGUCCUCCCAUGCUAAAUUGAGAAAGGCAGAGAGCUCCAUUACUGAUACAUUAUUUGAGAAAAUGUUCACACUUUUCCACUAGCUCUUCACACACUUCUAAUUCUUGUUAAAAAAUCCUUCAUUAAAUCGUAUGAUUUCAAGGAUUGUGUUAGACAUCAAAAUAAAUGCACCCAAAACCCUCUGUUUUUUGAUAGAAUCAAGCCAGCUGUUUCGUGGAAGAGUUUCAGCCUGUGUAAAUGUUACAAACUGCUGAAUUACUAAAAGGCCCCUUGACAUAUGAUCUCAUGUUGCUUAAUAGGCCUCCGAUUACUUUGGGGAAAAAUGGGUUUUAUUGUGUUAAUCAUAUGAAAACGAAGUUACUAAUCCCUAUCUAAUUAUGAGAGUUUUUCUUUUUUUUAACUUGUAAUAAUAUCCUAAUUAUUUCCUCUUAUUGAAACAAGUCCUGUUUUAAAAGUAAUCCUCAGGAAACAAUAUGUAAAACUAUGCAGUGAAAUAUCUUGGCUUUAAUU